rnacentral:lncRNA from 1 species
AUUAUAUGUGUGUGUGUAUAUGGGUGUGCGUAUAUAUAUAUGGCUUGAAAAGACGCAAAUGGUGAUGGUGAUGGGACGAUUGAAGGAAUGUAUAUAUAUUCUGGCAUCCUAAACAGAUUAUAUAUAUAUGAGGUCCAAAAGAUUGAAAUUGUCCUCAACCUAAAACAUACCUAAAAACUUGUUGUUGCUGCAGCACAAUGUCACCCGUCUGCAUCCUCCCUCUGCUCAAUCUUCCGCCCAUU